AAAAAGAGAAGACCAUUGCCUGAUUACCUUGAGAAGGUUCAGAAGGAUGUGAGUGCAAACAUGAGAGGGAUUUUGGUGGACUGGUUGGUGGAAGUUGCAGAGGAAUACAAGCUUCUAUCGGAUACGUUGUAUCUUGCUGUUUCCUACAUUGAUAGAUUCUUAUCAGUGAGUGUCAUCCCUAGGCAAAGACUUCAGCUUUUGGGUGUUUCUUCGAUGCUUAUUGCUGCGUAAGUAUUGUAGCCAAGAACUGGUUUUAUUUUGGCAGUGUGUUUAUUGUGUAAUUUUGGUUGUGAAUCUAAUAUAAUCUGUUGAUUAUGAUCAGGAAGUACGAGGAAAUUAAGCCGCCAAAUGUUGAGGACUUUGCUUACAUUACAGACAACACAUUUACAAAGAAAGACGUGGUGAAUAUGGAGGCUAGUGUUCUACAAUCCCUCAAAUUUGAAAUGGGAAAUCCCACAACCAAAACAUUUCUCGGAAGAUUUACUAGGAUUGCCCAAGAAGGUUACGAAGUAAGUACAAAUAUGACACAAACAUUAUGAUAUUCAAGUCAACUUUGUUUCCGAUAACUGUUUGCUCAUGCUACCUAUUCUGCUUUCCGUAGAACGUUGAUUUGCAGUUAGAGUUUCUCGGUUACUACCUAGCAGAGUUAAGUUUAUUGGAUUACAACUGUGUGAAAUUCUUGCCGUCUUUGGUAGCCGCUGCUGUGAUAUUCCUUUCAAGGUUCACAUUACAACCAAAGUCACAUCCUUGGGUGAGGAUUUUGAUCCAAUGUUUGUUUAUAUUUAGUACCUUGAUAUAUGGAAACAUUGAUAACUAACUCUAUCCAUUUUGUAGAGUUUGGCCCUUCAACGUUGCUCGGGAUAUAGACCAGUGGAUCUAAAGGAAUGUGUUCUUAUCAUUCACGACUUACAAUUAAGUAGACGAAGAAGUAAUUUGUCAGCUGUGAGGGACAAAUACAAGCUGCAUAAGGUAUCAAUUCGUGCAUUGUUGAUAAUUGGUGAUUUUGUUGUAGAUGCCUGUAUAGUUCAGUAAUCUGAUGUGAACAUUUGUAUGAUUUUCUUGUAACAGUUCAAAUGUGUGGCAACAUUGUCUUCUCCUCUCGAAAUACCAAACUCAUUCUUCGAAGAUACAAGACAAUGAUUUCUCGGGCUCUCGAGCAUAUGCUUGGAAAUUGUAACGAGAUGCUACGACGAUACGGGGAAGCUGGUUUAUGCUGAUCUGAGGGCACCAUUAACCUGAGUUUUCAUUUUAUUAGAUCAGGAAUAGUUAUUAAGAUAUAUGAAAGUUAUAGCAAGUAGCUAGUAAAAAUGAUGAUUCUUCUACAUGGUUGCAUUGAGUGAUGAUUGGAAUUUAGUACAGAGACAUUAUUUAUUCUUGUAAUAAGAUGAAUACAAUUAUCUAGAAUUUUUUGUAUGGCCAAAUAUUGCAUUAUGCAAUAAUAUUAAUGGUCAAAAACAUAUUUGGACUAUCAAUUGUAUUAAAACACAUCUCACUUCGAAGUGUUCAACAUGUGCGGUGCACCUAUUAUGGAUUAAAAAUAAAUAUUUGACCAAUUUAACAUUGACAUGUAUUUAAUGUUGGAAAAUUAUUUAAAGCCCUUUUAUUAGCCAUUAGUUACUCCUUAAAUACAAAAGUGUAUAACAAACUUUCUAUAGCUUUUGUUCCAUUAUUAUUUGAGUUCUACUCUGAAAUAUAUUCUUAGGGAUCGUUUGGUAGAUUGCAUUGAAAAAAAUUAAUGUAUGUAUUAGCUUUGUUUGAUAUAUUAUUUCACUCUAUGUAUAACUAAUGCAAGUAUUAGUUAUACAUUCUAUUUGGUUUUGUGAUACUAUAUAUAUAUAUAACAAAUACAUGGGAAAUUAUGAUAUUAGCAAUGCAAAGAUUUAAUGCAUGCAAUUAGCAUGGUUACACAAUUACAUCUUAAAACAUUUUUACAUCAUUACCAUCAUAUUUGUGGAGGAUAAUUUUGUAAGCAACUUUUUUUAGAAAUUAUGCGAUGCAUGUUAUUUUUAAUAUACGGAACCAUAUACUACAUAUAUAGUAAGUAAUAUCAGCAUAACUAAUACAUCAUAUUCAACACUAUACUUAUACACUCUAUCAUAUGACCUCUUAGUCAUUUCAUUUGGUGGAAGAAGAGAAGAUAAAUGAACACAAACUCUUCCUCUCAUAUGAUAUUGUGUUGGAGUUCUCUUCCUUAAAAGAAUCUUUUUUAGUUAUUGUGCUCCUAAUUUUAUAUUAGAAGAACUUGUUGAAUACACUUAUAUCGGAUGAAAUAUAUUUAAGAACAAUAUUAUUGACACAUCUCAACUAUGAGAAUUCUUUGCAUAUUUUGUGACAUUUUUUUUUACGUAAGAUUUGCAACAUCCAAUGCAAAGAAAGUGAUAGUUUAGGUAGAUAAAAAGAUUAAUAGUUAAGGCAUGAAACUCACAAAAAAGUGUUAAUUUAAAUUUAUUUUUGACCAUUAAUUAUACUUUGCUUGGAUGGUUGUUCCACAUUGUUUUUAAUGUGUCGUAUUAUGUUGUGUUGUACAUAUCAUAUUGUAUUGUUUUGAUGAAUACACGAUUUGAAUAGAUUGUAUCGUUUUCUGUCGUUACAUAAUGUCAUGCAUCAAUAAUUUGAUGAUAAACCUACGAGAAAAGUAGAAUAAGGUGUAGAGAUACCAUAAAGAUAUAAUUAAGAUGAAGGAUUGUAGAAUAUUAAAUCAUAAGUAGAGAUAAAGUGAGAAAAAAAAGGUAAGACACAGGCACACCAAAUUGAUUAUUAUAUAAAAUGAGACUUUUUCGUCAUUUUCUAAGAUAUAUGAACACAAACUCUUUCUCUGGUAUGAUAUUGUGUUGGGUUUUCUUCGUUACAUAAUCUUUGUUAGUUUUUGUUCUUCUAAUUUUAUAUUAGAAGAGCUCGUUAAGUCCUGAAGGAUAUAUCUACGGCAAGUAAAAUAUCCUUAAAGACAAUAUCUCAACAGGUUUCGUGAUAAGAUAUUCUUUACAAGAUUUGCAACAUUAAAUAAAAAGAGAGUGAUAAUAUAGGUAGAUAAAGUGAACAAUGAAUAAUUAAGGUAUGAAAGUCAUAAGAAAAUGAUACUCCCUUCUCCAACAAUAGUUGACCACUAUACUAUUUUGGCAUGUCCAUUUAUGAAAUCAAUGGAUACUUUUACACUUAUCAUUAAUUAUAGUCAUUUUCCUAUUAUAUUUUUAAGACAUUGUUUAUUAUAUUCAAAGGGUGCUAUAGUAAAAUUACCAUUCUAUUUCUAUUUAUAUAUUUUUAACAAGUGUGCAAAUUUAAUAGUAAACAACAAUUGUUGGUCAAAGAGAGUAACUUAAAUAUGUUUUUGACCAUUAGUUACACUCUGCUUGGAUGGUUGUUACACAUUAUUCCACCAUUGUAUCAUAUUGUAUUAUUUUAAUGAAUACAACAUUGAAUAUACUGUAUUAAUUUCCAUCGUUACAUAAUGUCAUACAUCAAACAAUUUAAAGAAUAAACCUAAAAGAAAACUAGAGUACAACGUAAAAUUACGAUCAUUAAAUUAAACAUUAAGAUCAAAUAAGAAAAAAAAGAGAGUCUUUUUCAUCAUUAUCUAACAAUAUUUUUAACAAUAAGGGGCCGUUUGGUUACUGGAUAAGGGCAACGUUAAUACAUGAAUAACUUUGUUAUUCAUGUAUUAAUUUUGUACCACGUUUGGUUUGUAAAUAGAAUCAAAAUUAUUCAUGUAUAAAUUUUAACAAUGUUUGGUUGGUGUGUCUCCAAUGUUGUAUAAAAGUUAUACAUGUAUUGAUUUUAUGUGGUGUUUGGUUGUAUUUUUGUAAUGCCACAUAGCUAAUACUUACAUAACUUAUGAAGAAAUCUAUGUAUAAUUUUAUGCAGGGGUAGAGGGUGAAAUAAGUUAUGAGGGUAUUAGUUAUACAUGGAUUAAAUUAAUAAAAAUUACAUAUUUACCCUUAAUUUGUUUUCUUACUUAUUUGUUUGUAAAUAAUAAUGUAUAUUAAUUUACAAAAUUAAGGAGUUAUAUAUCUUCUUUUUAAAAAGGCAUAAUACAUAUAUUGGACCCUAAACUUGGCUUCAAAUUUUAACUUUGACCUCCAACUUUCAUAGUGCACAAACAGACACUUUAACUAUCCAAUCUUUUAAUAAAUAAACACGCGAAUCCUACUUGGCAAAACGCGUGAUGUGCACGUAUUUUGCGCGAGUUAGGAGUAAUUUUCGAGUCCCACAACAGUAAAAACCUCCCUUUUCCGGCCAGCAAACACCACUUGAAACCACCCAAAACCUCCAUUCAUUUUCUUCUUCUCCGCUCCGCUCACGCCACCACCAGCGAGCCAGCUUCAACCUCAAACAACCAGCAGCUCCCAACUCCAAACACCUCCAACCCAGCUGUUCUCCUUCUUCCUCCACACCGGAGCACAACCCAUGAAGCGAACGAGCUUCGAGCUCGCUAAACCAACCAAAUACCCGACCCCAAACCCAUCAAAUCCGCCAUCUCCGGCGAGAAUCAUCAUGAAACAACACUGCUGCAACCAGCAGCUCGAACCAAACACAAAACAGCAACCAAAUGACCCCUCAAACCCUAUGAAAACAGACCCAACAACCACAAACACCUAAACCAAGAAGCCAACCAUCAACAAACNNNNNNNNNNNNNNNNNNNNNNNNNNNNNNNNNNNNNNNNNNNNNNNNNNNNNNNNNNNNNNNNNNNNNNNNNNNNNNNNNNNNNNNNNNNNNNNNNNNNNNNNNNNNNNNNNNNNNNNNNNNNNNNNNNNNNNNNNNNNNNNNNNNNNNNNNNNNNNNNNNNNNNNNNNNNNNNNNNNNNNNNNNNNNNNNNNNNNNNNNNNNNNNNNNNNNNNNNNNNNNNNNNNNNNNNNNNNNNNNNNNNNNNNNNNNNNNNNNNNNNNNNNNNNNNNNNNNNNNNNNNNNNNNNNNNNNNCCACCCCACCCCCGAGGGACUGUUGCAUUUUAUUUAUUUUGGAUACUGCUUGUUUAUAAGCAUGGAUUUUCUAAUUUCCGACUUUUUAAAAAAAGUAUAUUAAUUUACAAUAAAUUAAAUAAUCAAUAAGUUAUAAUUUAUGUAAUAUAAUUUCUACAUAACUAAAUCCUACAUAAAUAAUAUCUACGAAACUAAUAUUUGUAUAAUUAAUACCUACAUAACUAAUACAUGCAUAACUAAAUCCUGCAUAACUAAUACCUGCAUAACUAAAUCCUACAUAACUAAUACAUGCAUAAAAAUUCAUAGAUUCUCUCAUAACUACUCCCUGUAUUACUAGUAUCUACAUUUUAAAGUUACGUGGCAUAGUUUGACUCUGCACGAAUGGUGUAAGAAAAUUACCUUUUAAGUUAGUGGAUGACGAAAUAUAUAAUUAAAGAAGCGGGUAUAUAUGGAGGGAACCCAAAACUCACUUUUUAAAAUUUCGAUCUGAAAAAAAAAAAGUAACCAAAAAUUUGCCGCAACAAGACAACCCCUUAAAACCAAAAAUUCCCAAAAACUCAAAUCCAUCUGAAAAUUUCCCUCAAAAACACUCACUCUGCUGAAUAUAUGGCGCCAUAUAUAUACAUACACUCAUCUCUCUUUCCCUUCCUCAGCCUACUCUUCCUCUCUUACCCUACCCACCCCCACCCCCAAACACAGAGAGAGGAAAAGGGAGUUGCAAGAAAUGGCAGAUCAAGAAAAUUUUGUUAGAGUUACAAGAUUAGCCAAGAAAAGAGCAGCAGAAGCAAUGGUUCAGCAUUUGCAACAACCCAACAAGAAGAGAGUUGUGUUGGGUGAGAUUCAAGAUUUGUCUAAUGAGGGUAUUAUCAAAUCUAGGAAGACUAUUAAGAGGAAGGUGAAAAGAUCUGUUACUGAGAAAGAUAAGGAAUUUGAUGUUGAUGUUAAUUUGGAUGAUGAUCCUCAGAUGUGUGGUGCUUAUGCUUCUGAUAUUUAUGAUUAUUUUCAUCAAUUGGAGGUUAGUGUUUUUGCUCAUUUCAAUAAAUUUUGUGUCUUUUGAACUUUAAUCAGUUAGAUCUUAGUGAUUAAGUAUGUUUUGCAUUUCGUAUAUGUUUAUUGGAGUAAAUAAAUUUAAAAGUGAAAUUUUUAAUUGGGUGUUACUUAAUAGAGCUUGAUUUGGUUUCUAAUUGAUGAUUUUGCCAAUGGGUACUCUAAAGAUUGGAUUUUUAGCAAAUGGGUUGUGGUUAAUAUCAUUGAAAUAUCAAAUCUUGUUAAUAGAGCUUGAUUUGGUUUGGUUUCUUAUUGAUGAUUUUGCAAAUGGGCAAUCUAAAGAUUUGAUUUUUGGCAAAUGGGUUGUGGUUAAUAUCAUUGAAUUAUCAACUCUUGUUUAAUUGGGUGUUACCUAAUAGAGCUUGAUUUGGUUUCUUAUGGAUGAUGUUGCAAAUGGGUACACUAAAGAUUGGAUUUUUGGCAACUGGGUUGUGGUUAGUAUUAAUGAAUUAUCAAAUCUUGUUGAAUUGGGUAAUUACCUAAUAGUAGCAGAGCUUGAUUUGGUUUCUUAUUGAUGAUUUUGCAAAUGAGCACACUAAAGAUUGGAUUUUGGCAAGUGGGUUGUGGUUAAUUUAUCAAAUCUUGAUUGGAUUUGAUAUUUGGGUUUUUGAGUUUUUGACUUACUCUGUGGUUUUUCAAAUCAGAUUGAGAAAAAGAGAAGACCAUUGCCUGAUUACCUUGAGAAGGUUCAGAAGGAUGUGAGUGCAAACAUGAGAGGGGUGUUGGUCGACUGGCUGGUCGAAGUUGCAGAGGAAUACAAGCUUCUAUCGGACACGUUGUAUCUUACUGUUUCACACAUUGACAGAUUCUUAUCACUGAAUGUUAUCCCUAGGCAAAGGCUUCAGCUUUUGGGUGUUUC
rnacentral:lncRNA from 1 species